GCGACGACUCGCACGUCGCCGAGCUCUUCGACAUCCACAGCCCGCCGCCGAUGAUCGGGACCGACGCCAGGAGCGUCAACAGGUUCAGGCACCCGAUCACCGAGUUGCUGAAGCGCUUUGAGGCGUCAGUGCGAUUGAUUGAUUGAUUCCAAAGAAUAAUGUUGCUGGCCCAGAGCAUCCAAGCUUUUCGAAAGCUGGGUUGAUGAGGGGGAAGAGCCUCCUGUCCUUUUUUUUUGGCCAUGGAUGGAUUGAUUGCUAAUGGAGAUUCCCCAUUAGUGCUCGACAGAAUAACUUGGUGUUGCUUUACGAGAGGAUAAGAGCAGAAGAGACCACAACCCUAAUCCACUCCGGAGAACUUGUUCUGAUGGUACUGUAGCGAAGGGGAGUGUAUCUGCAACCCCAUGGAACAAAGGAGAGCAUCUUGUACCAAGUUGAGGGGGGCCGAGAAGCUAGAGAACCAUCAAGAUGACUUCUAUCAGGUAGGCUCUAAUUCAUGGACAUAGGUACACUUUGCAUUCAUUUGCCUUUUAAUCCAACCAUCAACAUUAAAUAUUGUCACCACCAUAUGUUGAUCUUUGCUAUCUUGUAUUAUAAUAUACUUCCUGCUUAUAACA